AACAAAUUGAUCUACUCGAGCCUCAAGACCAAUAGAUUCCUUUCUGUCAAGGGACAAUCCCCCUGGAGCAACAUGGAGUAAAGUGUCUUGCUCAAGGACACACUGGUGGUGGCUGCUGGGAUCGAACCAGCAACCUUUGAUUUACCAGUUCAGUGGUUUAACCCACUAGACCACCAUCUUCAGACAUGGGAUGGACACUGUCAUGUUGGCAUAGAAAAGGGACCUUUUCUGACUGUUGCUAUGAAAUUAGAAGCACACAGUUCUCUAGUAUAUGAAGAUUUAUUGUAGCGUUGGGAUUUCUUCUCAUGGAAAUUACCAAAGCAGUCAAACCUGUUGAUUACUUUUGCCCAUAAAGUGUAUUUAAUUUAUGACAACUAAAUCACAAUAAAGUCGACAGUGUAAGCAAGAAGGGGAGCACAUUAAUCCAGCAGUAGCAUAUGGUGGCGUGUCCUUUUUCAUUUUGGGGGGUUUAGAGAACUCUACAUGAGUGAGUGUAAUUGGAGUUGUCAAUGGUGCUGCACUAAAAGUGCUUUUGGCUGUGAUGUAACCUUCCCAUCGAAAGCUGACCCAAGACCCGUGAUGAUCAAUAUUGUAGAACAACAUUCUGAAACACUUUUGCCUCUUGAAACAUUAUUGAAAAACGUGCAAUUUCAAUGCCCAACUUUCGUCUGGGAGCUGAUUAUUUCUUCAUGGACAUACAGACCUUCUCCUCACUUUCAUACUCAAGCCCUUAAGGCAAAGGCGUCGCUUACGUUAAAACAAUCAUUUGAAAACUAUGUACACCGGACUACGGGUGCAUGAAGGGACAACAUCUCACGCUUUUUGUUUUUAU